rnacentral:rRNA from 1 species
GACGAACGCUGGCGGCGUGCUUAACACAUGCAAGUCGAACGGAAAGGCCCUGCUUUUGUGGGGUGCUCGAGUGGCGAACGGGUGAGUAACACGUGAGCAACCUGCCCUUGACUUUGGGAUAACUUCAGGAAACUGGGGCUAAUACCGGAUAGGAGCUCCUGCUGCAUGGUGGGGGUUGGAAAGUUUCGGCGGUUGGGGAUGGACUCGCGGCUUAUCAGCUUGUUGGUGGGGUAGUGGCUUACCAAGGCUUUGACGGGUAGCCGGCCUGAGAGGGUGACCGGCCACAUUGGGACUGAGAUACGGCCCAGACUCCUACGGGAGGCAGCAGUGGGGAAUAUUGUACAAUGGGCGGAAGCCUGAUGCAGCAACGCCGCGUGCGGGAUGACGGCCUUCGGGUUGUAAACCGCUUUCGCCUGUGACGAAGCGUGAGUGACGGUAAUGGGUAAAGAAGCACCGGCUAACUACGUG